ACCAAAGUCGUUUUAGGUGAUCCAGUCACACCUUAAUAAAAGAUUGGUGGCGACUCCAAAUUUUCAUCAACAACUAAUUUCUGUUUUUUUUCAAAAAAAUAAAAUGGUUUCGACAACGUUGAUGUGGAAAAAUUUGUUUAUUCCACCUAAGCGCCUAACACAUUUCACAUGUAAUUAAAAUAAAAAAUAAUUCAAAAAAACUUUUAUUCAUUAAAAAAUAAUUAAAAAAUAAAACAUAAAAUACGUAGACAGUAAAAUCGUUUCAGAAAUGAGAAGGCCAAUCCUAAAAAAAAAAUACUUGAAUCAGAUAAUCUAAAAAAAAAAGAGUAUAAAUCGAACCCUAAUUUGAGAAAGUAAAAAAAUUCUGUGAAAGAAAAUUA
rnacentral:lncRNA from 1 species